AUUGAACGCUGGCGGCAGGCCUAACACAUGCAAGUCGAGCGUGAAAGUUCUUCGGAAUGAGUAAAGCGGCGGACGGGUGAGUAAUACAUGGGAAUCUGCCUGGUAGUGGGGGACAACGUUUCGAAAGGAACGCUAAUACCGCAUACGCCCUACGGGGAAAGGGGGGGAGUCUUCGGACCUCUCGCUAUCAGAUGAGCCCA
rnacentral:rRNA from 1 species